GGCUGGGUGGGGGAAGGGAAGUGUCCUAGGGUGAUGUUAUGGUGAUUGUAUCCGCAAUCAUGUGUUCUGUUUAUGCUUGAUGUUAUGUUCUGUGCCUUCAGGACUGGCUUCAAAAAGUGAAGACUGGGACCUGAGAAACACUGAGAAGCACCAAGAACCUGUGUUUUGUGACCUGCAGCAGCCAUCCCCAGCGCCGGAGACCGAGAACUGGAUGACCACUCCCAGGAGAGACUUUCUGAAUUUGUCAUCUCUUCAGAGUGGUGAAAGAGUUUUUGUCAUCUGGUGUUGUUCUUGUGCCAGGGAGUGUUUCUGUCUGUUAAAUAAACUGACACUUUUUUUCCA